GACGAACGCUGGCGGCGUGCUUAACACAUGCAAGUCGAGCGGUAAGGCCCUUUCGGGGGUACACGAGCGGCGAACGGGUGAGUAACACGUGGGUGACCUGCCCUCAGCUCUGGGAUAAGCCUGGGAAACCGGGUCUAAUACCGGAUAUGACUCCAUGACGCAUGUUGUGGGGUGGAAAGCCUUGUGCGGCUGAGGAUGGGCCCGCGGCCUAUCAGCUUGUUGGUGGGGUGAUGGCCUACCAAGGCGACGACGGGUAGCCGGCCUGAGAGGGCGACCGGCCACACUGGGACUGAGACACGGCCCAGACUCCUACGGGAGGUAGCAGUGGGGAAUCUUGCGCAAUGGGCGAAAGCCUGACGCAGCGACGCCGCGUGAGGGAUGACGGCCUCGG
rnacentral:rRNA from 1 species